ensembl:lncRNA
AGAAAUAUAAAGUGUAUUCAGUCUGUGUGACAGCGUGCCAUCUCUUUUCUCUUUCCCUUUUAGAGAACCGCAGCCAGCAAGCCAUCCAGUGUCCCUUCCUAUAGCAGAUGGUCCAGCUCACAGCCGCAUCAGGAAUGGAAAAAAAAAUUAAUAGUGAGGAGAUCAGAACCUUCAUGAUUCUUACAGCGACUGGAAUAUCAAGUCCCUCCCUCCCUACUGCUGUGGCAUCUGCCUCCCCCUCCCCCUUAUUCCAUUCAUGAAAGAGACUCACUUUGCACCAUGCUGGGUUCAGCUUGUCCAUUAUAUUAACUCUUUAUGCUGCUUAGAAUUGAAAUAGAAAGGAAAAUAAAGCUUCCCAGGUCUUCUGAAUUUUUGACCA